rnacentral:rRNA from 1 species
AGAUUGAACGCUAGCGGGAUGCUUUACACAUGCAAGUCGAACGGCAGCGCGGACUUCGGUCUGGCGGCGAGUGGCGAACGGGUGAGUAAUAUAUCGGAACGUGCCCAGUAGCGGGGGAUAACUACGCGAAAGCGUGGCUAAUACCGCAUACGCCCUACGGGGGAAAGGGGGGGAUCGCAAGACCUCUCACUAUUGGAGCGGCCGAUAUCAGAUUAGCUAGUUGGUGAGGUAAAGGCUCACCAAGGCGACGAUCUGUAGCUGGUUUGAGAGGACGACCAGCCACACUGGGACUGAGACACGGCCCAGACUCCUACGGGAGGCAGCAGUGGGGAAUUUGGACAAUGGGGGAAACCUGAUCCAGCCAUCCCGCGUGUGCGAUGAAGGCCGUUCGGUUGUAAGUCGACUUU